UACGGCGUGCCGAAGACAUAUUGGGUGUCUCAAAAUCACUGAGAACUCUAUAGCUCAAAAUUUAAGCCCUGCACUUUUUUAGAUCUACCCCGUUGAGUGGCAUUUUUGUGAAAAUUAUGUAAAUAUAUUUAUCAGAAUAAGGGAGAAGUGUAGGGGGCGGCGGGUGAGGUGCAGAAGAAGAAUAAGAAGAAGUUGUACCUAUCCAGUAAUUUUAUCUUGAUUUGUGGAUUAGAGGAAGACUAGAUUUUGAUAAAGAAAUCGGCAAACUUGAACUGCAGCACUCCAGCAGCCUUACCCCGCGUUCGAUGUCUCUCGGAUGACGAAGAUUCUACGUCGUCCAGCCAAUCCCGUCCAAGGACUCGUGGCGCUGCUCGCCUCCUCGCCAAUGCGAACGCGUUCUCUGAGGACAACCCGCCCAAGGCUAGUAUGGCGAAGCCACGCCACCGCGCCGGCUAUAGACUCACGGCCUGAAGCGAGUUUGGGCGCGACGGCUGGCGAGCCAAGGCGGCGGAAAGUCGUCUGGCGGAGCUCCCGUCUGAGGCGAGCGAGCUUGAUCUGGUCAGACAUCUCCGCCACCGAUGGUGUGCUAGAUGGAGGAGGAGGGGCCAUCCCCCCCCUGAACCGCGACAUCCGGGAGGUGCGUGUCGCGGCAGGCGCCCUCUGCUCUAGCACGCGCGGCGAGCUAUUCGCCCUAAGAGCGGUGUUGGAGGAGCUGUUGACCAAGACUGGUCGCGACACCUCUCUUCCGAUAAUUAUCGUCUGUACCGACUCGAUGGCGGCGCUGGCCCUCCUGCGGAGCGGCGCGGCGGCCCAGAGAGCCCCUCUGGCCGCAGACAUAUGGGGGCUGCUGGCAGCGCUCACCGAGGGGGCCAGCCAGUGAUAAUGCAGUGGGUUCCUGCACACUGCGGGCUUCCGGGCAACGAGCGGAUGGACGCCCUCGCGCGAGGCUGGCGCCCUAUCCCAACGGUAGCGCCGUCCGCCGAUCGACUUGGGCAGCACUAUCUGCAAGGCAGGCGCGCGCGACGCUGCGCGCGCCUGGCGGCGGAGCUGGCAGGACGGAUGACCCUGGCUGCCGCCGUGAGAACCAUCCAGAACCGUACGGCUAUGCUGCGGCAGCGGCUGAAAGGAACGCAACAACAAUAACUACAACAGCAGCUGCUAAUGAAAGGGGAAAUCAUGGAGCCGGAUGACCCGGCACAUGGCGCUCAGCCAGCUGAGAAUGAGAGCAGCUAUCAAAUCGCCAGCAGGGUGCUGCGGCUGGUAACUGACGACCUUGGUAGAGAGAGCGCCUCCGCUGAUGCGGAUGAAACUACCCCCUCUCGGGUUUGUUUGACGCCGUCUCCGUCGACUCUUUCGCCUGGGCCGGCUGGCGACCGCGCUACAUUUCUUGUGCAGUGACUCGUAACUGUGUUCACCAAACUUUCAAAACUCCCCACGUUAGCAUCUUUAAAGAAUGUUUUCCUUGUACACUGCUGCAAUGUCUUAUGUAGGCAUGUUGUACAGUCUAAACGAGUGUGGAAUGCUUUGUUGUGCUUGUUCUGUAUUUCGUUUGCUAUUUAUCACGGUGACUAUAAUUUAUUUUGACCAACUCUUGCCUUGUUACAAUUUUAGUGGAUGGUUUCUGAACUGCUGUUUGCAUUAUAGAUGUUGCUAGUGCGUAGACGCCAAAGAUUACUUAUACCUAUUGACGCGCCAGAUAAAGGAGGUGAAGUAUUCCUCUGAUCUAUACCUACGGAAUUCCUUUAUGUGUGUUUUGUAAUCGAUAUUGGCGGUUUUCUUAUGUGAUGCGGUGUAGAGCGUGGCUGAGGAAGGCGAUGUUUAAAGUUGCUAGUUAUUUUUCAAUACAUCUUUGAUCGGAC
rnacentral:lncRNA from 1 species